UCGACAUGGCAAAGGCCUUCAUCAGAGAAGACUGGCGGAUUACGUUGUCCACUGUUGCUCCACAUUUGGAUAUCACCUAUGGAUCUGCAGGUGCCAUAGUGCACGAUGACUUGACGUACCAUAAAGUUUGUACAAGAUGGAUGCCCAGACAACCUGCUGAUCUACACAAGCCAACAUCCUUUGGUGAAGUUCUGCAGGUUUCACUUCCUUGGCCCAAAGAAAUCUCAUUGCAGAGUGUUGUUCAACAAUGGUGCUAUCCCGCAGCAGAGCGUCCAUGUUUAUUUGACCUUAGCUUAAACUAGAUUAAUAUUAGAGCACUGCACUAUUCGUGUUUAAACUACCCAUAAGCCACCACUAACGUGUUAUAUUACGUCAGCUUCUUUCCAUUACAGUGUACAGCGUAAUUUUCAAAUUGCCUUUACUUUUUGAUUUACCCUUAUAUUAACAGAUUGAUAAUUUUUCAAAAGAGCUGCGUUCAUUUAUAAUUUCAAUACUCAUUUGAAAUAUUUAAAAUUUUUACUGUAUAAACAUGCUUAAUAUGUUCAUAAAAGACUCCAUGAUUUGCAAAACUUUCUGGGAAAAAAAAUAUGAAGGCACUAUUAUACUGACACUUCAGCACCUGCAAAAGUAAUGAUUCCAUAGUAACUUCUGUAUAUUUUUUUCUUUAUGUUUCUUCAAUUUUACAGUUUUACCACUCGGCUGGUAAAGAACCUGGGACUCUUUGUUACAAGCAUCCAAGGACUGACUAGCAACAAUUAUCAGACCUACUGGGAAUUUUUCUCUGGAUCCAACAUGUUGUACGAAGGGAUUGGAGGCUACAUACCAAGCAAUGGAGAAAACAUUGUGGCCCGUUUCCUGCAAUUCUGACAAAAUUGAGGACUAAACCUGAAGUAGUCACCAAUACGUUUUGUCUAGGAGGAUAGUCCAGAGCUUUGGCACUUGUUCUUUUCCUUUUGCUUGUCAAUUUGUGAGAAAAUGAAGGAACUCAUUCAUUCUUGUAGAAACCUGUGUAUGGUAUCUGGUAUCAUUAGUUUUCUAAUAAAGACAUACUUCCAUUCUAAUGUUUUUCUGCUUAAUUUGGUUCUUUGCUAUUCUGUUUUGAAUCUUGCAUGAAAAUGUGCAAACACAGCUAUUUUCUAGCCACUGCAACAAAUAAAAAUCCAUUUCAUUGUA